AACCUGGUUGAUCUUGCCAGUAGUCAUAUGCUUGUCUCACAGAUUAAGCCAUGCAAGUGAAAGUACAUAUGUAAGUAAUAUAUUGAAACUGCGAACGGCUCAUUAAAACAGUUAUAAUCUACUUGAUGUUUUUAAUAUAAGGAUAACUACGGAAAAUCUGUAGCUAAUACUUGUGAAAAUACCUUUUGAUAUAUACAUAUGUAUGUAUCAUUAAGGUAUGUAUUUGUUAGAUAUAAGAAUAAAAUAAAUAUAAUUGAAUUAUAACAAAGAAGAAACACAUAAAAUAUGUGUAUUAUCAAUCGAGUAUCUGACCUAUCAGCUUUUGAUGUUAGGGUAUUGACCUAACAUGGCUAUGACGGGUAACGGGGAAUUAGAGUUCGAUUCCGGAGAGGGAGCCUGAGAAAUAGCUACCACAUCUAAGGAAGGCAGCAGGCGCGUAAAUUACCCAAUUCUAAAAAAGAGAGGUAGUGACAAGAAAUAACAAUACAAUAUCGAAAAAUGAUUUUGUAAUUGGAAUGAUAGGAAUUUACAAGGUUCCUAGAGAAACAAUUGGAGGGCAAGUCUGGUGCCAGCAGCCGCGGUAAUUCCAGCUCCAAUAGCAUAUAUUAAAAUUGUUGCAGUUAAAACGUUCGUAGUUGAAUAUUAAAGAAUCCGAUGUUUCAUUUAAACUGGUUUGGGAAAACCAAAUAUAUUAUAUAUUUUGCUUUGUUCAAAAUAAGGUUUUCUAAUAAAUUAUGUUUUUAUCAGAUAUGACAGAAUCUUUUUUAAAAUCUCUUCAAUAUGCUUUUAUUGCUUUUGAGAGGUUUUGUUACUUUGAGUAAAAUUAAGUGUUCAUAACAGACGGGUAGUCAUGAUUGAGUUCAUUGUGUUUGAAUACUACAGCAUGGAAUAACAAAUAUGAAUAAGCUAAUUAUUUUUUUUUUUCAUAAUUUUUUUUGAUAUUCUUAUUAGCUUAGUUACGAUUAAUAGGAGUAGCUUUGGGGGCAUUCGUAUUCAGAUGUCAGAGGUGAAAUUCUAAGAUUUUCUGGAGACGGACUACUGCGAAAGCAUUUGCCUAAUCUAUUUCCAUUAAUCAAGAACGAAAGUUAAGGGAGUGAAGACGAUCAGAUACCGUCGUAAUCUUAACCAUAAACUAUACCGACUAGGUGUUGGAUGAAUAUAAAAAAUAUAUAAAUAUGUAGCAUUUCUUAGGGAAUGUUGAUUUUAUAUUAGAAUUGCUUCCUUCAGUACCUUAUGAGAAAUCAAAGUCUUUGGGUUCUGGGGCGAGUAUUCGCGCAAGCGAGAAAGUUAAAAGAAUUGACGGAAGGGCACCACCAGGCGUGGAGCUUGCGGCUUAAUUUGACUCAACACGGGAAAACUCACUAGUUUAAGACAAGAGUAGGAUUGACAGAUUAAUAGCUCUUUCUUGAUUUCUUGGAUGGUGAUGCAUGGCCGUUUUUAGUUCGUGAAUAUGAUUUGUCUGGUUAAUUCCGAUAACGAACGAGAUCUUAACCUGCUAAUUAGCGGUAAGUACACUAUAUUUUUAUUUGAAAUUGAAUAUAGGUAAUUAUACAUGUUUAUUCAGUGUUCAAAUUAGGAUAUUUUUUUUAUUAAAAUAUUCUUUUCCCUGUUCUACUAUAAUAAUUUGUUUUUUUUUACUCUAUUUCUCUCUUCUUUUAAGAAUGUACUUGUUUGAUUAAAUAAAGCUUCUUAGAGGAACAGUGUGUAUCUAACACAAGGAAGUUUAAGGCAACAACAGGUCUGUGAUGUCCUUAGAUAAACUAGGCUGCACGCGUGCUACAAUGAUAUAUAUAACAAGUUGUUAAAAAUGUACUUAUAAAUAAGUGUGUACAGUUUUUCCUGUACUGAAAAGUAUAGGUAAUCUUUAUCAGUAUAUAUCGUAAUUGGGAUAGAUUAUUGCAAUUAUUAAUCUUGAACGAGGAAUGCCUAGUAAGCAUGAUUCAUUAGAUUGUGCUGACUACGUCCCUGCCCUUUGUACACACCGCCCGUCGCUCCUACCGAUUGAAAGAUAUGAUAAAUUGUUUGGAUAUGAAUUAAAAUAAUGAAAUUUUAUAUUUCUGAUUUUUUCUAGAAGAACUGUAAAUCCUAUCUUUUAAAGGAAGGAGAAGUCGUAACAAGGUUUCCGUAGGUGAACCUGCGGAAGGAUCAUUA
rfam:Plasmodium falciparum Dd2 supercont1.287 genomic scaffold, whole genome shotgun sequence.